UUUGGUUAAUUAAAUUACUAAAGGAUUUAAAUAUUGGAUUUAGUCGAAUUUGGAAGGUCGGUAUUAUUUUAAGAGGCAUAUUUGGAUUUAUUAAGUUAAAGUCGAAUUUAGUCGGUAUUAGUUCGGGAUAGCAGAUUGAUAUUUAAUCGGAGAUUUUAAUAUUUUUAGUAUUAGAAAUAUUAAUGAGUUAAUAUUUAGCGUUUUGGGAAUUUUUCGAGUAAUUAAGAUUAGACCGGAAAUAUGAGGCAUUGAGUAAUAAGUCGGUAUAUUAAAAUAAUCGGAUUUUAUUUUAAUGGUAUAUAAGUGGAAGUAUUAUUUUUUUUAUAUUAAGUGUGAAAAUAAUAUUGGGCUUAGUUGUGGUAACAUUAGUUGUUAUGGGUGUAUUUUUAUUAGGCCCAUUAUUAUGUGGUGGUGACUAAGAGGUAGUAUCAUUUGUCAUUUUUGAAAUAGAAGCAUAGAGUUAUCCGAGGAAGAAGAAAGAAAAGAUGGCUAGGGUUGUGAAGAGGAGAAGAAGGAGACCCAAAGUGUUGCUCUAAAGUGUCAUUUUUCCCCAAAUUUCUAUUGAAUCUUCUUAGAGCUGCACUCAAUCCAAGGUACUCAAGUAUAGCUGUGGGAGUUUGUCGCUUCAUCGAGUCUUGUUGGUAUGCCGCUCUGAUACGUAGCACUCGGGGGAUAUUCAUAUUGUCAUUUCUAUGUUGUUAUGAUUUAGUUGUUAUCAUUAUAAUCGUUGAAUCCAAGUUGAAUACUAUGAAGUACUUUUUAUACUUCCAAGUUGUUUUAGUUGAAUAAAGCUGAUAGUUGACUGUUAAUUUGAAUGCUAUGUAUCAUUGUGAAUGAAACACAAGUUGAAAUUUUAAGUCGAUAUGUGAUACUCCAAUGUGUUGUUUGAAAAUUUUAAAUACUCUGAUAUUUUCCGCA